CUGCUUCGCUGACGAGUGGCGGACGGGUGAGUAAUGUCUGGGAAACUGCCUGAUGGAGGGGGAUAACUACUGGAAACGGUGGCUAAUACCGCAUAACGUCGCAAGACCAAAGAGGGGGACCUUCGGGCCUCUUGCCAUCAGAUGUGCCCAGAUGGGAUUAGCUUGUUGGUGAGGUAACGGCUCACCAAGGCGACGAUCCCUAGCUGGUCUGAGAGGAUGACCAGCCACACUGGAACUGAGACACGGUCCAGACUCCUACGGGAGGCAGCAGUGGGGAAUAUUGCACAAUGGGCGCAAGCCUGAUGCAGCCAUGCCGCGUGUAUGAAGAAGGCCUUCGGGUUGUAAAGUACUUUCAGCGGGGAGGAAGGUGUUGUGGUUAAUAACCGCAGCAAUUGACGUUACCCGCAGAAGAAGCACCGGCUAACUCCGUGCCAGCAGCCGCGGUAAUACGGAGGGUGCAAGCGUUAAUCGGAAUUACUGGGCGUAAAGCGCACGCAGGCGGUCUGUCAAGUCGGAUGUGAAAUCCCCGGGCUCAACCUGGGAACUGCAUUCGAAACUGGCAGGCUUGAGUCUUGUAGAGGGGGGUAGAAUUCCAGGUGUAGCGGUGAAAUGCGUAGAGAUCUGGAGGAAUACCGGUGGCGAAGGCGGCCCCCUGGACAAAGACUGACGCUCAGGUGCGAAAGCGUGGGGAGCAAACAGGAUUAGAUACCCUGGUAGUCCACGCCGUAAACGAUGUCUACUUGGAGGUUGUGCCCUUGAGGCGUGGCUUCCGGAGCUAACGCGUUAAGUAGACCGCCUGGGGAGUACGGCCGCAAGGUUAAAACUCAAAUGAAUUGACGGGGGCCCGCACAAGCGGUGGAGCAUGUGGUUUAAUUCGAUGCAACGCGAAGAACCUUACCUGGUCUUGACAUCCACAGAAGAAUCCAGAGAUGGAUUUGUGCCUUCGGGAACUGUGAGACAGGUGCUGCAUGGCUGUCGUCAGCUCGUGUUGUGAAAUGUUGGGUUAAGUCCCGCAACGAGCGCAACCCUUAUCCUUUGUUGCCAGCGGUUAGGCCGGGAACUCAAAGGAGACUGCCAGUGAUAAACUGGAGGAAGGUGGGGAUGACGUCAAGUCAUCAUGGCCCUUACGACCAGGGCUACACACGUGCUACAAUGGCGCAUACAAAGAGAAGCGACCUCGCGAGAGCAAGCGGACCUCAUAAAGUGCGUCGUAGUCCGGAUUGGAGUCUGCAACUCGACUCCAUGAAGUCGGAAUCGCUAGUAAUCGUGGAUCAGAAUGCCACGGUGAAUACGUUCCCGGGCCUUGUACACACCGCCCGUCACACCAUGGGAGUGGGUUGCAAAAGAAGUAGGUAGCUUAACCUUCGGGAGGGCGCUUACCACUUUGUGAUUCAUGACUGGGGUGAAGUCGUAACAAGGUAACCGUAGGGGAACCUGCGGUUGGAUCACCUCCUUACCUUAAAGAAGC
rnacentral:rRNA from 1 species